rnacentral:rRNA from 1 species
UACGAAGGGACCUAGCGUAGUUCGGAAUUACUGGGCUUAAAGAGUUCGUAGGUGGUUAAAAAAGUUGGUGGUGAAAGCCCAGAGCUUAACUCUGGAAUGGCCAUCAAAACUUUUUAGCUAGAGUAUGAUAGAGGAAAGCAGAAUUUCUAGUGUAGAGGUGAAAUUCGUAGAUAUUAGAAAGAAUACCAAUUGCGAAGGCAGCUUUCUGGAUCAUUACUGACACUGAGGAACGAAAGCAUGGGUAGCGAAGAGG